AUUGAACGCUGGCGGCACGCCUUACACAUGCAAGUCGAACGGUAACAGGUCUUCGGAUGCUGACGAGUGGCGAACGGGUGAGUAAUACAUCGGAACGUGCCUAGUAGUGGGGGAUAACUACUCGAAAGAGUGGCUAAUACCGCAUGAGAUCUACGGAUGAAAGCAGGGGAUCGCAAGACCUUGUGCUACUAGAGCGGCCGAUGGCAGAUUAGGUAGUUGGUGGGAUAAAAGCUUACCAAGCCGACGAUCUGUAGCUGGUCUGAGAGGACGAUCAGCCACGCGGGGACUGAGCAACGGCCCAGACGCCUACGGGAGGCAGCAGUGGGGAAUUUUGGACAAUGGGCGCAAGCCUGAUCCAGCAAUGCCGCGUGCAGGAUGAAGGCCUUCGGGUUGUAAACUGCUUUUGUACGGAACGAAAAGCCCUGGGUUAAUACCCUGGGGUCAUGACGGUACCGUAAGAAUAAGCACCGGCUAACUACGUGCCAGCAGCCGCCGUAA
rnacentral:rRNA from 1 species